rnacentral:rRNA from 1 species
UACAGAGGGUGCGAGCGUUAAUCGGAAUUACUGGGCGUAAAGCGCGCGUAGGCGGCUUUGCAAGUCGGGUGUGAAAUCCCCAGGCUUAACCUGGGAACUGCAUUCGGGACUGCAUUGCUAGAGUAUGGGAGAGGGAAGUGGAAUUUCCGGUGUAGCGGUGAAAUGCGUGGAUAUCGGAAGGAACAUCAGUGGCGAAAGCGACUUCCUGGACCAAUACUGACGCUCAUGUGCGAAAGCGUGGGGAGCAAACAGG